rnacentral:tRNA from 1 species
ACUCCCUUAGUAUAAAUAGUACUAUUGACUUCCAAUCAAUGAGCCUCGACACACUCGAGAGAGAGUA